rnacentral:rRNA from 1 species
GGCACCACCAGGCUUGGAGCCUGCGGCUUGAAUUUGACUCAACACGGGGAAACUCACCCAGGUCCAGACACAAUAAGGAGUGACAGAUGGAGAGCUCUUUCUUGAUUUUGUGGGUGCUGGUGCAUGGCCGUUCUUAGUUGGUGGAGUGAUUUGUCUGCUUAAUUGCGAUAACGAACGAGACCUUAACCUGCUAAAUAGCCAGGCCCGCUUUGGCGGGUCGCCGGCUUCUUAGAGGGACUAUCGGCUCAAGCCGAUGGAAGUUUGAGGCAAUAACAGGUCUGUGAUGCCCUUAGAUGUUCUGGGCCGCACGCGCGCUACACUGA